rnacentral:rRNA from 1 species
GCCACCACUUCAUGGUGGGGACUCAUAGGAGACUGCCGGGGUCAACUCGGAGGAAGGUGGGGAUGACGUCAAGUCAUCAUGCCCCUUAUGUCCAGGGCUUCACGCAUGCUACAAUCGCCGGUACAAAGGGCUGCUAUGCUGUAAGGCGGAGCGAAUCCCAAAAAGCCGGUCUCACUUCGGAUUGGGGUCUGCAACUCGACCCCAUGAAGUCGGAGUCACUAGUAAUCGCAGAUCAGCAACGCUGCGGUGAAUACGUUCCCGGGCCUUGUACACACCGCCCGUCACGUCACGAAAGUCGCGAACACCCGAAGCCGGUGGCCUAACCCCUUGUGGAGGGAGCCUUCAAAGGUGGGGCUGGCGAUUGG